rnacentral:rRNA from 1 species
AACGAACGCUGGCGGCAGGCUUAACACAUGCAAGUCGAACGCAUCGCAAGAUGAGUGGCAGACGGGUGAGUAACGCGUGGGAACAUACCCUUUUCUACGGAAUAGCUCUGGGAAACUGGAAUUAAUACCGUAUACGCCCUACGGGGGAAGGAUUUAUCGGGGAAGGAUUGGCCCGCGUUGGAUUAGCUAGUUGGUGGGGUAAAGGCCUACCAAGGCGACGAUCCAUAGCUGGUCUGAGAGGAUGAUCAGCCACAUUGGGACUGAGACACGGCCCAAACUCCUACGGGAGGCAGCAGUGGGGAAUAUUGGACAAUGGGCGCAAGCCUGAUCCAGCCAUGCCGCGUGAGUGAUGAAGGCCUUAGGGUUGUAAAGCUCUUUCACCGAUGAAGAUAAUGACGGUAACCGGAGAAGAAGCCCCGGCUAACUUCGUGCCAGCAGCCGCGGUAACAC